rnacentral:lncRNA from 1 species
CAAAAACCGAAAACCAAAAACCAAACACAUAAUAAUAUACAACACACACAACAUAUACACACAACCCCCACCACACACACACAUAUCUGAUGCCUGGGCCCUACCUCCAGAGGGGCUGAUAUGAUUGGCCUGGACUACAGCCUGGGUAUUAAGCUUUUCAAAGCUCCCCAAGUGGUGAUGGUGAUGAUGAUGAUGAUGAUGAUGAUAUCUAAGUACACUGUAGCUGUCUUCAGACACAACCAGAAGAGGGCAUUGGAUCCCAUUA